AACCCGCUAAUACUACUAGGAAUAUGUUUAACUUCCUGCUAAUCCUGUUAAGUUCCUGCUAAUACGGCUAAUCCUGAUUAUAAUAGCUUUGAAACAAUGAUAAUGAAAGUUUUUUCAUCGUUCUAAAUUUAUGCUACAGUUAUGGUCGUAAAAGAUUAAGAAAAAUCUUAUGGGUGCAAUUAUUCCUCUGACACCUGCGAAAUUACCAAAAGAACUGACCAUCGCUGUUUAUUGUAUUUUUUUAAAUGUUCUAGUUAAACAAUCUAUCACUU